rnacentral:rRNA from 1 species
CCUACGGGAGGCUGCAGUGGGGAAUAUUGGACACUGGGGGGAACCCUGAUCCAGCGACGCCGCGUGAGUGAAGAAGUUUUUAGGUAUGUAAAGCUCUAUCAGUAGGGAAGCAAAUGACGGUACUUGACUAAGAAGCCCCGGCUAACUACGUGCCAGCAGCCGCGGUCAUACGUAGGGGGCAAGCGUUAUCCGGAUUUACUGGGUGUAAAGGGAGCGUAGACGGUGAAGCAAGUCUGAUGUGAAAGGUCGGGGCCCAAACCCGGGACUGCAUUGGAAACUGUUGACAUGGAGUACAGGAGAGGUAAGCGGAAUGCCUAGUGUAGCGGUGAAAUGCGUAGAUAUUAGGAGGAACACCAGUGGCGAAGGCGGCUGACUGGACUGUAACUGACGUUGAGGCUCGAAAGCGUGGGGAGCAAACAGGAUUAGAUACCCCUGUAGUC